AGUGGCGAACGGGUGAGUAACACGUAGGAAUCUACCCUUAAGACGGGGACAACCCAGGGAAACUUGGGCUAAUACCGGAUGAGAGUGCGAGAGAUUGCAUUUAAAAGGAUGGCGAAAGUUGUCGCUUAGGGAUGAGCCUGCGGUCUAUUAGUUAGUUGGUGAGGUAAGAGCUCACCAAGGCGAUGAUAGAUAGGCGGCCUUAACGGGUGGUCGCCCACACUGGGAUUGAGAUACGGCCCAGACUCCUACGGGAGGCAGCAGUCGAGAAUAGUCUACAAUGGCCGGAAGGCUGAUAGUGCGACGCCGCGUGAACGAGGGAGCCCUUCGGGGUGUAAAGUUCUUUUCUAUACGAGCAGUGCUAUAUAUAUGGAUAGUAUAUAUAGAGGGAUAGUAGUAUAGGAAUAAGCAACGGCUAACUCCGUGCCAGCAGCCGCGGUAACACGGGGGUUGCGAGCGUUGUCCGGAAUUACUAGGCGUAAAGGGCAGGUAGGCGGAUCUACGAGUUUUUUGUUAAAGGCUACGGCUCAACUGUAGUAGAGCAGGAGAUACUGUAGGUCUGGAAUGCGGUAGGGGAAGACAGAAUUCCUGGUGUAGCGGUGGAAUGCGCAGAGAUCAGGAGGAAUACCGAAGGCGAAGGCAGUCUUCUAGGCCGUAAUUGACGCUUAACUGCGAAGGUGUGGGAUCAAACAGGAUUAGAUACCCUGGUAGUCCACACAGUAAACGAUAAUCACUAGAUGUCGGGUUCUAGAUGGAUUCGGUGUCGGAGCAAACGCGAUAAGUGAUUCGCCUGGGGAGUACGAUCGCAAGGUUGAAACUCAAAGGAAUUGACGGGGGCCCGCACAAGCGGUGGAGCAUGUGGUUUAAUUCGAGGCAACGCGAAGAACCUUACCCGGUUUUGACAUCCACGGGAGGCUUCAGAGAUGGAGCUGUGCCGGCGUAAGCUGGAGCCGUGAGACAGGUGCUGCAUGGCUGUCGUCAGCUCGUGUCGUGAGAUGUUGGGUUAAGUCCCGCAACGAGCGCAACCCUUGCCUUCAGUUACCAUCAUUAAGUUGGGGACUCUGGAGGGACCGCUGCGGUAACAACGCAGAGGAAGAUGGGGACGACGUCAAGUCAUCAUGGUCCUUAUGGCCGGGGCUACACACGUGCUACAAUGGCAGUUACAGAGGGAAGCGAUUCAGUAAUGAGGAGCGAAACUCAGAAAAGUGCCGCAGUUCGGAUUGAGGUCUGCAACUCGGCCUCAUGAAGUCGGAAUCGCUAGUAAUCGCGCAACAUCAUGGCGCGGUGAAUACGUUCCCGGGCC
rnacentral:rRNA from 1 species